CAAUAGCGUAUAUUAAAGUUGUUGCAGUUAAAAAGCUCGUAGUUGAAUUUUUGCUUGCCGCCGAUGUCGGAACUUCCGUACGUUCGGCGGCGUGCAUCCUUGGGUGGAACCUGUGUGGCAUUAGGUUGUCGUGCAGGGGAUGCUCAUCGUUUACUGUGAAAAAAUUAGAGUGUUCAAAGCAGGCUUAUGCCGUUGAAUAUAUUAGCAUGGAAUAAUAAGAUAGGACCUUGGUACUAUUUUGUUGGUUUGCGCACCGAGGUAAUGAUUAACAGGGACAGUUGGGGGUACUCGUAUUCCAUUGUCAGAGGUGAAAUUCUUGGAUUUCUGGAAGACGAACUACUGCGAAAGCAUUUACCAAGGAUGUUUUCAUUAA
rnacentral:rRNA from 1 species